rnacentral:lncRNA from 1 species
CGUCUCGGCUCACCUCACGGCAGCCAGGAAUCAUGAGUUGGCUUUAUCCUUCUAUUCCGUCCCGGACUUGAGCAUCUAGAUGGUGUUGGAGUGGUCCUUCCCCCUUUAGAUAAUUCUCACCGGCAAUGCCUGGGCCCUCUCAGUCUAGUCAAGUUAAUAAUUCAAUAACCAUCACUCUCCUCUUGAUUCCAACAUGACAGCGGCUUCCCAUCUCCCACAGAAGAAAGCUCUACAUGACUAACCCCCUGCUUCUGAUCUCCUUCUCUGUUACCACAUCCCCGGUGUAUUCAUACUGCCUCCCUGUGUCUCAAAGCUUCCCAGGGUGAUGCAACCAAGUCCAUUGCUCAGAGUUUUCUGUGGAGGCAACAGCUGUGUAGUGUGGCCAGAUCUACACUGCAGAGGAAAAUGAGCAGAAAGCGAUUUGAUAUUCCAUCUGAGAAGAGCACAGACCAACCUUGACCCAAGAGUCUCUCACUCACUUAUUUACUUAGUGUUCUCACAAUAGCAACAAAGAUAUCUUCCUCCCACUUACUGCUGGAUUGAUGC